GCCCCCAUAGUUCAAUGGAUAGAACGUGGCCCUCCGGAGGCCAAGAUGGAAGUUCGAAUCUUCCUGGGGGCACAA
rnacentral:tRNA from 1 species